GACGAACCGUGCGAACGUUGUUCGGAAUCACUGGGCUUAAAGGGCGCGUAGGCGGGUUCGCAAGUCAGGGGUGAAAUCUUUCAGCUUAACUGGAAAACAGCCCCUGAUACUGCGAGUCUCGAGGGAGGUAGGGGCAUGCGGAACUGUAGGUGGAGCGGUGAAAUGCGUUGAUAUCUACAGGAACUCCGGUGGCGAAAGCGGCGUGCUGGACCUUUUCUGACGCUGAGGCGCGAAAGCUAGGGGAGCAAACGGG
rnacentral:rRNA from 1 species